UGCUGGGAAAUCUAAUCGCUUAACUAUUAGGCUUCCAGGGGAUACUGUUAGACUUGGGACCGGGAGAGGUAAGAGGUACUGCAGGGGUAGGAGUGAAAUCCUGUAAUCCCUGUGAGACCACCAGUGGCGAAGGCGUCUUACCAGAACGGGUCCGACGGUGAGGGACGAAAGCUGGGGGCACGAACCGGAUUAGAUACCCGGGUAGUCCCAGCUGUAAACGAUGCUCGUUAGGUGUCAGGAACGGUGCGACUGUUUCUGGUGCCGAAGGGAAGCCGUGAAACGAGCCACCUGGGAAGUACGGCCGCAAGGCUGAAACUUAAAGGAAUUGGCGGGGGAGCACUACAACGGGUGGAGCCUGCGGUUUAAUUGGACUCAACGCCGGAAAACUCACCGGGGGCGACAGCAAUAUGUAGGUCAGGUUAAAGGUCUUACCUGAAUCGCUGAGAGGAGGUGCAUGGCCGUCGUCAGUUCGUACUGUGAAGCAUCCUGUUAAGUCAGGCAACGAGCAAGACCCGUGCCCACUGUUACCAGCAUGUCCUUUAUGGAUGAUGGGGACUCUGUGGGGACCGCUGCUGCUAAAGCAGAGGAAGGUGCGGGCUACGGUAGGUCAGUAUGCCCCGAAUCUCCCGGGCUACACGCGGGCUACAAUGGUUGGGACAAUGGGUAUCUACUCCGAAAGGAGUUGGCAAUCUCUUAAACCCAAUCGUAGUUCGAAUUGAGGGCUGUAACUCGCCCUCAUGAAGCUGGAAUCCGUAGUAAUCGCGUUUCAACAUAG
rnacentral:rRNA from 1 species